CGCCGCCCCGCGCCUCGCCAUGGGUCCGGCCGUGCGGCGGGGCUGAGCGGCGUCCCCCGGCCAUGUCGCAGCGGGGGGACGGCGACCUCCCCGAGCACUCGCCGCAGGCCCAAGGCGCCGUGGCCGAGCUGCGGCGGCGGGCGGACGCAGAGCCCGGGCAGCGCUGGCCCCAGCCCCUCAGCGACGCCUUCCUGCUGAGGUUCCUGCGAGCCCGGGACUUCAACGUGGACCUGGCCUGGAGGUUACUGAAGAAUUACCAGAAGUGGAGAAUUGAAUGCCCAGAAAUAAGUGCAGAUUUACAACCAUCUUCCAUUCUUGGUCUUUUGCAUGCUGGCUAUCACGGAGUCCUGAGAUCAAGAGACCCAUAUGGAAGCAAAGUUCUAAUAUACAGAAAUUGGACAAUGGGAUCCCAAGUUAUUUACAGCAUAUGAUGUGUUUCGUGUAAGUUUGAUCACAUCUGAACUCAUUGUAAAGGAGAUUGAAACUCAGAAGAAUGGAGUCAAGGCUAUCUUUGAUCUUCAAGGGUGGCGAUUUGCUCAUGCAUUUCAAAUCAGUCCAGCAGUGGCCAAGAAAAUUGCUGCUGUGCUCACAGAUUCCUUUCCACUAAAAGUUCGAGGUAUCCACUUGAUUAAUGAGCCUUUAUUCUUCCACCCAGUCUUCGCUCUAAUUAAGCCUUUUCUCACUGAAAAAAUAAAGCAACGGGUGUAUAUGCAUGGAAAUAACUACAUGCAGAGUCUGACUGAACACUUUCCAGUCAGCAUUCUCCCACAGGAAUAUGGAGGGGAAGGAGUCUCCUUCGAAGAGCUGGCCAAGGAAUGGACUGACUUCAUAAUGUCGUCUGCAGAUUAUCUCCAGAGCAUUUCCCUGGUUGCUCAUAAAUAACCUUAUGGCAGUAUUACAGCAGUUCAUGAAGACUGGAAGUGGAAAUAAGUUUAAUAUGAAAUAUUUCAUGUAAACUUGAAGUUACUGUAAAUGAAAUCAGUAUGUCUUUGCAGGGCACUGAGGGUUACACUGACUGCACUUUUAUACUAACUGGAGUGUAUCAGUAUGUACAUCUGAGGAGACUAAUGAAUUCUACAUGUUUGCAAUACUGUUUGUAACUGAUUAAGUUGUAUGUUUGUAGUUGUGCAUUGGAUAGCAUAUUAUGGAUACUGCUCCUGUUAAGUCAUUGGAGAAAACUCCUCUGUAAUAACGCAGUCCAGAACCUUACGCUUAGCUCUUUUAUCUUGGCUUGUCAAGAUGAUAAGAUACAAAGCCAAAUAAUUUAAGUAGAACAGAAUAUGAAUGGGGUAGACUAGUUGCAGAAGUAUGAAUACAGGCCUAAUUUACAACUGGGGGAAAGAGGCUGCUUUUUGGAUUGAUUCUCAGGGAAAUGGUUGUUUUGUUAGUUUGCACUGCUAAGAUUGCAUAGUCAAAUUGAGAAUUAGUCAGCAAUAGUGAAACAUUUGUUAUCUCUGUGCUGCUUGUGCAGCUUCCCAUUUUGUGCUAAUUAACACAGUAAUCCGCUAGUUUCAUAGAGGAAGAUGAGAAAAAGACCAUGUACAUGUUCUUCAGAGGACACCAUGAACCAAGAGGAACUGUUAAGAGAGUCAAAAGAACUUUGAAAAUUCUGAUUUUCUUUCUUCAGAGAUACUGUCUGUGAACAAGUUAUAAGCAACCCAGUAAUGCGAACACUUAUUUCCUGCUGUAGAGUGUUAGAGGUCAAGAGCUCUUAGCUGUUUGCAGUAUCACUUUGUUUUGAAGGGUGAAGUAAAUUGUCCUUCAUAGAUCUGAGCUUUAGAAAUAUCCGUUCUGUGGUUUAAGGAUGCUUGUACGUCACUUUGAGCCUCAGCUUAGGAAUUGCUGGCUAUCUUCCUUCUUAUCUUCAGGAAAGUAAUUGGCAACUUGCCAACUUAUGUCAUGUUGGGCACUGGAUGAUUUAACUUUCUGUUGAGUCUUAUGUAAUGAAAAAAUCUGUAGUUAUGGAAAAUAGAUUUUUCUAAGGGACAUGAUUCAUAUAUGAAUACUGUAUGUGUAUAAGUUGUCACAUAUAUUACAUAGCAGUAACAUCCUACAUUCCCCAGUAUUUAAUAAUCUGAAAUGUUAAUUUACUUUUGACUGUUUUUUGUUAAAAUUCCUGAAAUACAUCAACUGCUGGAGUUCAUUUACACAAUUUUUAUCCCUCUUUUGUAACAAGUCAGGGGUCUUUACAUAAAUAUUAGAUACUUAAGCAUUCCAUGUGAAUGUUCAUAUAAAUGAUCAAUAAUGCUUUACUUCUCAGGUAGCUGGAACUGCUAACUUCAGUUAUUUUGAAAUCAUUAGAACAUUGGGAUGCUGUAUUAAUAUGUGUUUAGGGGAGAGAAAUAACAAAAUCUUAUUAAGUCAGAAAUGUCUUAUUUUACUUUAUCAUUGAUACUCUGUUAUUGCAAAAGCCAGUGGCAGCUUCUCUUUAUUAGCAUGAGGAACACCUAUGAAAGUCCUAUACCAUACUUGGUGUUAGUUUCCUCUGAUAUGGUAAGAUAAAUGGUACAAAAUUCCUUAAAAACUGACAAAGAUAUUCUAUUUUUCAAUCCUUUCAUUGCCUCAAGUGCAUUUUCAUUCUUGUCUUUCAGGAUAUCUUUGAAGCAGAGCCUAAAGCUAAAGAAAUUAUUUUCCUGAUGCAUUUUCAUAUAUGCACAUAUUUCAUAUCCUUCUUUUUCUCUGAUUGAACUAUUUUGUGAUAUGAAAAAAGGUCCUUACAUUGAUGAGUUCAUUGAAAUGAUUAUUAUUCUUUAUUAGAAAAUAAACUAAGUAGCCAGACAUCUGGCAAUUCUUCAAGAGUUUAACUCAAGUUCCAAAUCCUGUAUGAACUCGAGAAAUGAAAAUAUUGUCCUAAAGUUUUGCUCCUUCAGUUUUAGUCCUUGAAUGUGAACUGCAUAAAGAAAUUGGCCAUGUUUCAGUGAACAGGAAAACUCAGUCUUUUCCUAUGAAACCAAUCCCUGAUUGUUGCGGUUUUAUCUGAUUCUUGUCUCUUUUAGAUUACUUCCGUUAUUGCAUUUGUAUAUGUACAUGGACAAAAUUUAUGGAUUUUAUCUUCAUUUGAAGUACACCAUCUCAAUGAAGUCCAAAGUGUCUUCAAAAAUAUCCUGGAUCUAUUAUUAAAUGGUAACAUGAAUAUAUAACACAAUGGAGCACUGAAUAGUUAUUUUUUUCAUGAACUGUUAAUUAUUUUUAAUGUUUACAUGUUCAGUAGGAAGUCUGUACACAGAACAUUGAAUUUGCUGCUAUUAACGAUGAUUAAAUAAUCAGAAAAUUUGCAUAACAUAUGGCAAAGGUGGUAGUGUAGUGGGUGGAGGUAGAGCACCCGUGAGCUUUAGAGUAAAUAAAAUCGUAAGUGCCUUAUUCUUCUCUAGUAAGGCCAGAAGUGCCUUUAAAGAAAACAAACGUGCUGUGAAAUGCUGAUGCAAGUACUGACAAGCGUGAUGUAAUGCAAAAUGUUUUUUAAUUCUUUUUUUACAUGUUAACACCAUUAUUAUCAAUAAACCUCUUCUACCUGAACCGGC